GGGCAACUAGCGUAGUGGUUAUCGCGUUCGCUUCGCAUCUGAGAGCUAUUUGGAAUUCCAAGGCGCUUGCGAAAGGUCUCCGGUUCAAAUCCGGAGUUGUCCA